rnacentral:rRNA from 1 species
UACGGAGGGGGCUAGCGUUGUUCGGAAUUACUGGGCGUAAAGCGCACGUAGGCGGCUUUGUAAGUUAGAGGUGAAAGCCUGGAGCUUAACUCCAGAAUUGCCUUUAAGACUGCAUCGCUUGAAUCCGAGAGAGGUGAGUGGAAUUCCGAGUGCAGAGGUGAAAUUCGUAGAUAUUCGGAAGAACACCAGUGGCGAAGGCGGCUCACUGGCUCGGUAUUGACGCUGAGGUGCGAAAGCGUGGGGAGCAAAC